rnacentral:rRNA from 1 species
AUUGAACGCUGGCGGCAUGCCUUACACAUGCAAGUCGAACGGCAGCACGGGAGCAAUCCUGGUGGCGAGUGGCGAACGGGAGAGUAAUAUAUCGGAACGUGCCCAGUCGUGGGGGAUAACGCAGCGAAAGCUGUGCUAAUACCGCAUACGAUCUAUGGAUGAAAGCGGGGGAUUGCAAGACCUCGCGCGAUUGGAGCGGCCGAUAUCAGAUUAGCUAGUUGGGGAGGUAAAGGCUCACCAAGGCGACGAUCUGUAGCUGGUCUGAGAGGACGACCAGCCACACUGGAACUGAGACACGGUCCAGACUCCUACGGGAGGCAGCAGUGGGGAAUUUUGGACAAUGGGCGAAAGCCUGAUCCAGCAAUGCCGCGUGCAGGAUGAAGGCCUUCGGGUUGUAAACUGCUUUUGUACGGAACGAAACGGUGAGCUCUAAUACAGUUUGCUAAUGACGGUACCGUAAGAAUAAGCACCGGCUAACUACGUGCCAGCCGCCGCCGUAA